GUGGGGAAUAUUGGACAAUGGGCGCAAGCCUGAUCCAGCCAUGCCGCGUGAGUGAUGAAGGCCUUAGGGUUGUAAAGCUCUUUCAGUGGGGACGAUAAUGACGGUACCCACAGAAGAAGCCCCGGCUAACUUCGUGCCAGCAGCCGCGGUAAUACGAAGGGGGCUAGCGUUGUUCGGAUUUACUGGGCGUAAAGCGCACGUAGGCGGAUCGUUAAGUCGGGGGUGAAAUCCUGGAGCUCAACUCCAGAACUGCCUUGGAUACUGGCGAUCUUGAGUCCGGAAGAGGUGAGUGGAACUCCUAGUGUAGAGGUGGAAUUCGUAGAUAUUAGGAAGAACACCAGUGGCGAAGGCGGCUCACUGGUCCGGUACUGACGCUGAGGUGCGAAAGCGUGGGGAGCAAACAGGAUUAGAUACCCCAGUAGUCC
rnacentral:rRNA from 1 species